AGAGUUUGAUCCUGGCUCAGAUUGAACGCUGGCGGCAUGCCUUACACAUGCAAGUCGAACGGCAGCACGGGAGCAAUCCUGGUGGCGAGUGGCGAACGGGUGAGUAAUAUAUCGGAACGUGCCCAGUCGUGGGGGAUAACGUAGCGAAAGCUACGCUAAUACCGCAUACGAUCUAUGGAUGAAAGCGGGGGAUCGCAAGACCUCGCGCGAUUGGAGCGGCCGAUAUCAGAUUAGCUAGUUGGUGGGGUAAAAGCCCACCAAGGCGACGAUCUGUAGCUGGUCUGAGAGGACGACCAGCCACGCUGGAACUGAGACACGGUCCAGACUCCUACGGGAGGCAGCAGUGGGGAAUUUUGGACAAUGGGCGCAAGCCUGAUCCAGCAAUGCCGCGUGCAGGACGAAGGCCUUCGGGUU
rnacentral:rRNA from 1 species